rnacentral:misc_RNA from 2 species
AACGCACCUUGCGCUCCUUGGUAUUCCGAGGAGCAUGCCUGUUUGAGUGUCAUGAAACUCUCACCCUUCAACUUUCUUAAUAGUGGUUGCAGGCGUGGACUUGAGCGCUGCUGGUCUUUAUUGACCGGCUCGCUUGAAAUGAAUUAGCAGAUCCUUUUUGUAAUCGGUUCCACUCGACGUGAUAAGUAUUUCGCCGAGGACAUCUUAACGGAUGGCCGAGAUAAGAAAAGUCUUUUAGAUCCGCUUCUAAUUCUUAGCCUUACGCAAGUAAGCUAAACCCAUUUUAUGAUCUGGCCUCAAAUCAGGUAGGACUACCCGCUGAACUUAA